UACGUAGGGGGCGAGCGUUGUCCGGAUUUAUUGGGCGUAAAGAGCGUGUAGGCGGCCAUACAGGUCAGCUGUGAAAACUCGAGGCUCAACCUCGAGACGUCGGUUGAAACCGUAUGGCUAGAGUCCGGAAGAGGAGAGUGGAAUUCCCGGUGUAGCGGUGAAAUGCGCAGAUAUCGGGAAGAACACCUAUGGCGAAGGCAGCUCUCUGGGACGGUACUGACGCUGAGACGCGAAAGCGAGGGGAGCGAACGGG
rnacentral:rRNA from 1 species